rnacentral:rRNA from 1 species
UACGUAGGGGGCAAGCGUUGUCCGGAAUUAUUGGGCGUAAAGAGCGCGUAGGCGGUCCGAUAAGUCGGCUGUGAAAGUCAUGGGCUCAACCCAUGAAAGCCGGCCGAUACUGUCGGACUAGAGUUCGGAAGAGGCGAGUGGAAUUCCCGGUGUAGCGGUGAAAUGCGCAGAUAUCAGGAGGAACACCGAUGGCGAAGGCAGGUCUCUGGGCCACUACUGACGCUGAGAAGCGAAGACAUGGGGAGCGAACAGGA